rnacentral:rRNA from 1 species
GCGAAAGCAGGCGUUAGUGAUCCAGCCGGUUUCAGAACGAAACGGCCGGCGCUCAACGGAUAAAAGCUACCCCGGGGAUAACAGGCUGAUUGCGCCCAAUCGUCCACAGAGACGGCGCAGUUUGGCACCUCGAUGUCGGCUUACAAUGGGCCGCACUCAAAGUAAUUUGAGUUGGCAAAUGUGCAAACAUUUGCAACGUCAGCUAAUAACGGUGAAGUCCUAACAAGGAAACCCAGAUAUGUUAGGAUAAUACCGUGGGAAGUAAGAGAAACUUCAUACAGUAUGCUACUGACAAAAAAACAACAAGAAAUAUUGGUUGGAACAAUAUUGGGCGAUGGUCACCUCGAGAAUAAUGGUCGUGGAGCACGUUUGCGUGUUGAUCACGCCCUAAAGCAAGGGGACUACGUUUACUGGAAACACACUGAAUUUGGGGGUUUUGCUACCGCAAAACCCAGGGUAAUUAGAUCAUUUCAUAAGAUUUCUGAGAAAUAUUAUGAGAGAUUACAUUUCUCAACCUUCAGCUCAGAUAUAUUUCUAGUAUGGAAAGAUCUUUUCUAUAAAAAUAAGAAAAAGAUUAUUCCGACGAAUAUCCAAUCAAUAUUGACCAGUCCGCUGUCACUAGCGGUUUGGUAUAUGGAUGAUGGUUACAAGCGAAAUGAUUGUAACGCAUUGCGACUUAAUACUGAUCUAUUCACAUUGGCCGAGCAGCGAUUGCUGUCUAUCUGCCUAAGGAAAAAUUUCGGUAUCGAAAGCAAGAUUCACAAGAAGGGCAAGAGCUACUGCCUAUAUAUUCCGCAAAAAUCAUCAAAGAAAUUCUGCGAAUUAGUCCGACCAUAUAUGGUCGAUAGUUUAUUGUAUAAAGUUUCUCUUACCCCGUAACGACUGAGUCGAAAGACGAGAAUGCGAUCUUAAACUGAUCGUAUUAAUACGCUGACUCCUGCAUAAAAAGCUAAGGAUACGGCCGUUAGGUCUACGUCCGGCGCAGGAUGAAUAUAUAGUCUACACUCCUGGUAACAGGGGAUUCAAUGUGCAUCCUAUCCUGGGGGUGGAGAAGCUCCCAAGGGUUUGGCUGUUCGCCAAUUAAAAGGGUACGCGAGCUGGGUUCAGAACGUCGCGAGACAGUAGAAUGUGCUGUCUUAGGUAACCAGAACUACGAUUCACAGCAGGAUCAAGAGUCAGUUACCCGACCCACAAGGUCGUUAAAAACUUGGCUAUAUGCUGGAAACUCUCCAAAAUUCCAACGGGAAACCGGUUGGACUAGGGAGACAAUCAGCAGGGAAGUCGUCUGCCAGUUGGUGGAUUGACCCCUCAGAGACUACACGCCGAGCCUCGCUCUAAGCGAGUGAAGAUAUAGUCCGGACUGCAUAGCGAUAUGCAGACCCUGCAGAAAUGACAGGGCACCACAGACAUAAUUCAGUAAUUGAUGUGGUUAGAAAGUAACAGAUCGUCGGUCCUAAUCUGCUGUAAGCGUUGAAGAUUGAGAGGAGCGGCUCCUAGUAUGAGAAGACCGGAGCGGACGAACCUCUGGUGUAUCGGCUGUCCUGCCAAGGGCACUGUCGAGUAGCUACGUUCGGAACUGAUAACCGCU